GACGAACGCUGGCGGCGUGCUUAACACAUGCAAGUCGAACGGUGAAAGCGGAGCUUGCUCCGCUGGAUCAGUGGCGAACGGGUGAGUAACACGUGGGCAACCUGCCCCUCACUUCGGGAUAACUCCGGGAAACCGGGGCUAAUACCGGAUAUGACCUCCUUGGGCAUCCUUGGAGGUGGAAAGUUUUUCGGUGAGGGAUGGGCCCGCGGCCUAUCAGCUUGUUGGUGAGGUAGUGGCUCACCAAGGCGACGACAGGUAGCCGGCCUGAGAGGGCGACCGGCCACACUGGGACUGAGACACGGCCCAGACUCCUACGGGAGGCAGCAGUGGGGAAUAUUGCGCAAUGGGCGAAAGCCUGACGCAGCAACGCCGCGUGCGGGAUGAAGGCCUUCGGGUUGUAAACCGCUUUCAGCAGGGAAGAAGCGAAAGUGACGGUACCUGCAGAAGAAGCACCGGCUAACUACGUGCCAGCAGCCGCGGUAA
rnacentral:rRNA from 1 species